AUACGGGAGGGAAUAGGGAUCAAGCAAGGUUCUUGGGAGAUGGGAGCAAGCAAAGCAGACGAGUAGGAGUGACAAGUGGUGAAGGGAGAGCUGGUGUGUGUGACGAUCCUAGCAACCAUCAGCACAUGAUCUUUAUAUAUAUAUGUGUGGGAGCGGCACAUUGCUGUCGAGCGGCUUUGGUUCCUUUGUUUCCCCUCCUUUGUUGGUUGGCUCAAAAAAGUACAAAUCAGUAACACCCUAGGUCUAGUCGUGAUCAACCUGCGAGACUGAUGAUCGAGCUGGGCGCCGCCCGAGGAAGCAGAAGGAAGACAGGGAAGUUCCAAAAGAGCAGUCAGUACUGCGUGCCUUGCCAGCAAGGGCAAGCGAUCUAGCACCAUUAUUCAGAGGGAGUUUGUCUAAUUGUAUUUGCCUGCAGGGGCCCUACACUGCCUGGGCGAACUGAUUAGCAUGCCGAGUUCGAACUAGGAUUAGCCAUUGGUGCUGGUGGUACGAGCGAGCAGGGCAUGAUGGCUGCAUGCGUACGGUCCCUGCGGCGUGGCGCCAAUGAUUUCGCUGCAUAUGACGGUUGCUCUGUUGUCGUCUGUUGAUGCUCUGCUCACUGAGAAAGCAGCAGCGGUGACAAGACCAACAGGCAGUACUACGUCUUGUUAUCGGCCGGCGAUCACAGCUUGGACGGUUGUGACCUCCAUCCUCGCCUUGGAAAGACCAUCUAGUUUUUUUCUCUGAAAAAAAAUAGUUUUGAUAUACUCAACUGCGCACCGAGCAAUUUCUCAUGCUGGUGUGGUAGCUGGUGGCCGCCACUAGUAGUUUUUGCAACUGAUACUGUAUGUUAGUGAAUUCAUUUCACCAUUUGCUCAGAGAACAAUAGGAGAGAUGUCGACCGCUGCAGGGCUGGUUAA